ACAUAUAUCUGACAGUAAUGAGAUUUUAAAACAUUUGAGCAGCUUUGAUAAAACUUUUAAAGAAGCCUUUUGAAUACUCAAAACUAUUUAAAUUGUAAAAGCGAGAACUUGUUUUCCAUAAGUUGCUGGGAAUUUAGUUACCUUCUUGUAUCAUUGGCUUAAGCCAAUGUUAUGCUUUGCUAUACGAAAUAAAAAAAAAAAUCGGUACUAAGAAACUGUCAAAUAACUUUCGGCUUACACAGAAAUUGAUUUGAAUUUUCAUGCUCAACUCGAGACCAUGCCAAGACUAGCAGGAAGGUAUUUCUGAGGAAUACAUUGAGCCUGCCUUCAGUAUUACUACAUUCCUGUCAAAACAAACAAAAUUCAAUGAGUUUCAAUUGUUUCGCAAAACGGCGCCAAUUCUUGUGAUAAUUUGGACCAAAUCUUCAGUUACCUUCAAUAAAUAUCAACACAAUAAGUUAUAUUCCAAGAAAUCUUUUAAAAUACUUUUACUUGAGCAAAAAUGUGUGAUAUUUUCCCUGGCCAAAUUUUAUUCAUUCAUUUUUUAAUAAUUUUUCCUUUUGAUACCGCAGAAAAAGAAAUUUAAAAAUUGUGAUUCGCAGGUUAUCUUACAUUUUCAAAAAGACAGAAUCUGUUAACUCUACCGAUAUUUCUAACUAAAAGAUCAACCCCAUUAAUAGCAAAUAUAUUUGUCUCCCUAAAUACCAUUUUUAUUCAUUAAAUAUUUCAAAAAAUUUUCUAAAUUUUAUAAUGGGAAUUUUUUUUCUCUUAUCCCUAAAUAAUCUUUUCUAAUGUCCACUCUUAACAGUCCACAUCCAUUCUGACCUUUGUCCACAAUAACUGUAAUCUUUAACCUAACCACUAACAAUACUAGAAUCCGGCUUCUCAUUCUGGAACCAGAGAUUUUUUUCUUUCACUGACCAUCUCGAGUAGUUUGGCCACCCCUCUCUCUAAUGACCUUUGAAACAUGUCCAAACCUUAAAGGUCAUCAAAUUUAGUUUACUAGUGCCUGCAGAUGACCAUGAUGGAACAGUGAAAUACAAAGAUGUUAGUCUGUCACUCUCAGCAGUUAGUAUUUCUUCAGACCAGUUCUUACAACGGUGUUCUCCAUUCCAUGUCAAAAAUGAGGUCGAUCUUUUGUUUUAAAGUUCCGUCCAGCUCAUGUUCACAUAGAAAAAGGGAGACACAAACACUUUUUUUUUUUAAACUAAUGUGAAAACUUCAGAUUGUUUUCAUAAUUAUUUUGACAUUUUUGAUUUUUUUUUUUUUACACAAAACAAUAUUUUAAAACAUUCUGUGAAACUGUUUUGGUAGCAUUUUCCUCUACCUCAACAAUCAUUAAAGUUAUUGUAACCAACUUAAACAGGAAAUUUCUCUGCAAAAUUCACCAGAAAAACAAAGAAUUUAUUGGACAUUUCCAAUUUCACCUCUUUGGUGUGGGGUGGGGGAAAAGAAUUCUAGGAAGAUUUCUAGGGGGUGGGGAAACGAACUUUCAUUGUAAAUCAGGAACUGUUUGUUGGUGUGUCUGUUAAUUGAACUACAGAUCAACUAUAACAGCAAAUUAUUGGUAUAUCUGUUCAGUUGUAAAAGUUUUCUGUAUAAAGAUCAACAAUUAAAAUAUAUAAAAUGCA